GCCUGAGAUCUCUUCAUUUAUCUUUUGAGUAACUUUCGUAAAUAUUUGCAAGAGUGAUGCAAUUAACUUGCUUAUUUUAGCAUAAUAUAUGCAUUAAUUAGAUUUUAUUAGAUAGAAAUUAAGUGUAUCUCGAAGGUCAAAUUGCCGUGCUCGUCAAAUAAAAAUACUUUUUUUUUUUUGCUUUUUGCAAAUCAUCAUUAUAUAAAUAAUAUUAUCAGGAUGUCAGUACUAAUAGAAGACGAACAAAUGAAUAAUCAACGGCUGUUGCCACGGAUAGCGCUGAUCGCAUGCGGCUCUUUCAGUCCACCGACCCCAAUGCAUUUUCGGAUGUUCGAAAUCGCACGAGAUUAUUUUACAAGUCAAGGGUCCCACCAUGUUGUUGGUGGUAUCGUAUCACCCACACAUGAUUCAUAUCAGAAAAAAGGACUCGUUGGAGGAACAUAUCGAUUUGCUAUGCUGAAAUUAGCUUUACAAUCAUCCACUUGGAUUAGGGCUUCCGACUGGGAAAUACAGCAACCGGAAUGGUCACGUACGCUUUCCGUUUUGCAGUAUCAUCAAAAUUAUAUGAAUAAUUAUGUCAACUCGCCGAUAGAAAAUGAAAUAAAUGGCACGAUACCGGGUUGGUUGCCACCGGGAUUACGUGAGCGUCAGGAUGGGGUGCAAUUGAAACUGUUAUGUGGAGCAGACUUGCUGGAAUCGUUUGCAGUGCCCGGACUGUGGGCUGAUAAGGAUAUUGAAGAUAUUGUGGGUAAUCACGGUCUGGUUGUGAUAACACGAUAUGGCUCUAGCCCUGAAAAAUUUAUUUUCGAGUCAGAUUUGUUGACUAAAUAUCAGAAAAAUAUUACAUUAAUAACAAAUUGGGUGCCGAACGAAGUAAGUUCAACCAUGAUACGCCGGCUUAUUUCACGUGGACAGUCAGUUAAAUAUUUGCUUGAUGAUCGGGUUAUCGAUUAUAUUCAAAUGCAAGGACUUUUCAACUGUAAAACGUGACCUAGCGCAUCCGUAAAUAGUGCUCACCCAAAUAUCACAACUCUGCCUUAUAAAAACAAGAUAUGUAAACGAAAUUGCAUGCGGAUAAAAUCCGCAGAAUCAACACCGCAACAAGUCAAAAUUGAAUGGAAACUAAUAAUGGAGUUUUCAAUUUAGAUAAACGUAAGCCUUCAAGCAGGAAUGUCUUUUGUUGUGGAGAGAGUGAAGUCAACG
rnacentral:misc_RNA from 1 species